AUGAACGCUGGCGGCGUGCCUAAUACAUGCAAGUCGAGCGAACAGACGAGGAGCUUGCUCCUCUGACGUUAGCGGCGGACGGGUGAGUAACACGUGGAUAACCUACCUAUAAGACUGGGAUAACUUCGGGAAACCGGAGCUAAUACCGGAUAAUAUAUUGAACCGCAUGGUUCAAUAGUGAAAGACGGUUUUGCUGUCACUUAUAGAUGGAUCCGCGCCGCAUUAGCUGGUUGGUAAGGUAACGGCUUACCAAGGCGACGAUGCGUAGCCGACCUGAGAGGGUGAUCGGGCGCACUGGAACUGAGACACGGUCCAGACGCCUACGGGAGGCAGCAGUAGGGAAUCUUCCGCAAUGGGCGAAAGCCUGACGGAGCAACGCCGCGUGAGUGAUGAAGGUCUUCGGAUCGUAAAACUCUGUUAUUAGGGAAGAACAAAUGUGUAAGUAACUAUGCACGUCUUGACGGUACCUAAUCAGAAAGCCACGGCUAACUACGUG
rnacentral:rRNA from 1 species